rnacentral:misc_RNA from 1 species
GCGGAUGGAAAAGUCAGGGUCGCGGAGGCGACGCACGACGUAGGAAAGGAUUCUGGUGAGGAAAGAAGAUAGAGAGUUGGAAUGGAGAACGGCGAGGGUGGAGAGGAGGUGAAGACACUGCUUGCGGACCAGACGCUUGUCGGUGGAGUCGAUGGAAAGUAAACAUGAGAUGAAGGUAGGAAGGCUCGUAUUAUCCAGUGUCCCGGCAAUGGACUCUAGCUCGGUGGCUGCAAGGUUGUAGGUGUCCCGGUCUGAUAGUUUGGUGAUCAACGUUAGCACUUUCAGCUUGAGGUUUUGGGCCAUCUUUCUCCCUUUUGUUUGAG